UGUUUGGUGCAACUUUUGUUUCGUUCUGUCUGCCUCGCGCCUUGCAACCAUGUCGCUCUGUUAGGAAACCUCUGCGAUCAUUGCGAUCCCCUCCCCCUGCUCUCUCGUGCCUUCCCCUCCGUUCCCAUCCUGCCCAAUGCGGCAGCAAGAGUUCUGCUCGCUCACGUCCCUCCCGCAUCGUCCAAGCCCCGCACAAUCUCCUCCGAUUACUAAAAAGAAAUCCAGAUUCUCGAGCGCUUCCGAUCUCCAUCGGCCUCGGGUCCUCCAAGGUCACGCCCUCACCACCCGCUGGCCUCUCUCCUCCAAGGUCGCGCUCGCCGCCGGCCAGCCUCGCUCCUUGCGCGUCCCCGUUCUUCGCCCUCCCUAUUGCACUCGCGCCAUCGCCCUCGCCGUCGCACUCCGCAGCCAUCCUCUCCAAGAGACCAAGACCCCAGUGACCGAGUCAAUCUCAUUGUUCGUGUCUCCACAGCAAGGGGAACUCACAGAUGCACACGCCGAGACCGCGACCUCCCGCUAUACCGACGCACUGGCCAGCCGUUCUGCUUCCCCGUGCCGCCCGCACUUGGUCCGCGGUUGAGGCGUGCGGCUGGGGCAGGUGGGCAGAGCGAAGGAUUAGGGUGGCGGCGGCGGCACCAGCGCUCCCUUCCCGCACCGCACGAGAAGAAGAGGCCACCCUCUAGAUCUCCGCUCGAACCCAGCUAGGCCGCCGACGGCGACCGGGCGGCAAAAUCCGACACACCGUACAACAAGGGCGUCUCCAAGUCUUCACUGAAGGCCACUUGGAUCUCGGCCUCACUUUUGAAUAAUUUCCUCAUCUUGGAAGCAUGAAGAUAGCUGGCAGAAAGGAACAAAGACAUGCAGUAGAUAACUCCAUUAAGCUGGUGUUGGUAACGAAGCUCCACAAACCAACAUUCAGGUGGUCCACAAAUCAACAUUCAGGCCAUCAAGUAACCUUCUACAAACUGAUUUCAAUUGCAUAGAUACAAAUGUGAGACACCAAGUUUGUGUUUCAAUAGUGGUGCCCUCACGAAGCAAUUGGCUGCGCCAUGACAGAUUCAUUACUCUCUGGGCAACGCAAGCUAUGCGACAAUGUUUCAUCCUCGCUGGAGGAGCUACUUCCCUCAUCUGGUCCUCACCCAAUGCCUUUCGUAAUAGUGCUAAAGCAAGAAACCAUCUUUCUAUUGGUUUUGUGAUGGGCACCAGAAAGACUCUUCUCAGGGCUGCAAGGAUGGCUGGUUGGCUCCAUUAUCUUUGUGAAAAGAGGUUUCCAAAAACAAGACAGGUUGGAUUUGAUCUUGUUCUUGGUUCAAAUGGCAAGCAGUUCCGAACCUGCAGUAUUGAGGUUGUUCGAUUUGUAAAGUUACUUGAUGAGGCUAAAUCUUGGAGCACAUUAGAAUUACUAUAGUUGCUCACUGAAAAUGAUAAAUUGGACUAUUUUAGAACCUUAUCUUUAUCCUUCAGGUGACUAUGAUAUUAUUUUUUUGUUCAGGCAAAAUUGUGUUAGUGUUUGUAAUUUAUGUUAGUGCUUCUUUUAGUAAAUUAGCACAUGUGAAGUAAGACGGGAUAGUGCUUGUGUUAGUGCUGUAGUGAUUAGCUUGUUUAUUUAACAAUGCAUCUCACUAGCUUGGUUGUGGUUGACAUGAUCAUCCACCGUAGGACUACCUAUAUUUGAUUUGCAGCUUGUGUUUGGUUUUAGCUGUUGUUUUUAUUUGCUCCCUUUUACUGUCAACAUUUGACCUAAUUAGAGAGGCCUACUACCACCAGUGAAACUAUAACAGAGAUAUUUUUGAUGAAAUAUAUUGUUUUGUAGUUUUAGUGGUCAGGUCUGGGUUACGUGACCCCAAGGGCAACUAAGUUUUAGUGGUGGUGCUCGUGUGAUUACUUGUGGGUUUGAGAUUGUCAUCUUUGUAUUUAAGCGUCAUGGUGUUGAAUGCUUCUUAUUGCCUAUAUAAUGUGUAAAGAUUAAGACGAAUUUUCUUGUCUGACUGAACUGAAAUGAUAUAUUUCCUGGAUCCUUCAAUCAGCGAAGUCUAAAUUUUCUGUAGGAAUAAAAAUACACCGGUAAUAUUAUUCAAAUAGACUAGGAAAGUUUUUUUUCAGUAUCUAAGGAACAAUAUGCAAAGGUGAUUCAUCUAAGCUAAUGGCUUGGUGGAUUUUGUGCCCGUGUAAGUGUAGACUUCGACUAUUCAUGCUCUGAUGGAAUUGAAGAUGGUGAUGACAGCAUUUGGAGCAUCGUUGGUGGGAAGGUAAACAAGAUGCUGUCAUAACUCAUACGUGAUGGCAAAAUUCUAUCUUUCAGCUUUUUUGAGAGAGAGAGAGAGAGGAUAAUUUCAGUAAAAUAUGGCACUUGAGUCGGAAAAAUAAUUAGUAGCAAACAACUACUUGUAUCAUAUAUCAUGGAUUAAAUCAAAAUGAUCAAGGCUACCCUAAUUAUGGAAAUUUAUGGACCCUGGUUGUUAUUGGAUAUUUUUUUGGUGCGCUCACUUCAUUUGUCUUAAAUUUUCUUAGAAGCAUUUGGCAUAUCACCAAAGACAUAGAGUUAUCGAUAUCGAACUGUUGGUAGAAGAAUCAAUUUUGUUUUUGGUUACAUCGUUGCAGAAUUGCAAAGUUGUACAUAAGACUUGCUGUUAUGCUAGGUUCAACUUGCUGUUUGGUAAUUAUGGCAAAAACAUUACAAUUUUGACUCUCAUAAUUGGAAAUGGGAAUUUUGACUCU